AUUUUUCUUGGAUGGAGAACAACAGCUUGCUUAGGUCAACAUGCCUGGGUAUUGACACAAGGACAGGAUUUGAAUAACAAACGCAUUCGCGCUAUAAUUCUUUCAAUUCUUUCAUUUUUCUGUCUUUUUUUGUUUUUUUUUCCCUUCUCUCAUAGUACCUGUUUGUUUCUAUGGAAACAGCCCAACACAGGGAGACAGAGUUGCUCCUAACCAGUUAGACACAAAGUUUCUGCUGCUCCACUGUGCAAAUAAGAUGUGGGCGGUACUGAGACUUGAGCUGAGAACGGAAGGAGAAGAGCGAAACAGUUUGCCUUGGGCACAUUAUUUACAUUCUCAGACUAAUUAAUAAAUCUCCGCACAUUUCGCGAGUUUCGCUGGAAAGUUCUGAGUUCCGAAGGUGCAGAGAUGCCCGGCCGACUGCCAUUUGUACUUGAGUAUUGCGAAGAAACGGAUCUACGUCAUCGUGAGGUCCAUGAUCUCGUGCUGAUGUAGGUGAGCAAAAUAAAAGUCAACUUGGUAGAGCUGUUUUCAUUGCAAUAACAGGGACGAUUGUGUCCUUGCGCUGGUAAUCUGAGCAGUAAAGAUGGUAAGAUCGGAUAGUGCCGCAGUGGCUUCCUGCGUGCAGCCCUCUGGGAUGUCACGUCACCCUUCCGCUUGGCCUCCCUCUUUGCAGAUGUCUGGAUAGCUGGGAACGAAGCCAGAUGUCCAUGAAGUGCCCGCUGCCAUUUUCCUCUGGAAACUCCUACCCCCAUGAACAGUUACUGUGGAAACGAACAACACUCACAGCAAGACGCUCCGCUGACCGAGUUCCUACCUGGGCAGCGCGAAGAGGAGAUAUUACACAGUAGAGAAGCCAGGUAAGAGUUAGAGGGCACAUCAUUGUUCAUGAAGAAUUAUCAUUGUGGAUGCAUGAGACAGGGCUGACAUACGAUACAAAUCAGUGCAGUGCUGUCUGUUCAUUCCUGAAGGAAAAACAGCAUAACACGUAGGUUUAGACGGCUAUGACAGCAUGGACUGAAGUCCGUUUGACACACGGCUGGUGAAGCCCCCUCUCUUCUUAUACAGUCAAAGACAUUGCAAAAAAGCGAGGGCUGCGAUGUCAGAAAGAUAUCGCUUUAAACAUGGUAAUCGGAGCUCGGCGCCUUUGCUCAUCCACUGACCCAAAUCUAACCGACAUCUAACUCAAAAAAACCGCGUAAAGCAACCAAGAAACAUCGUACGACUGAAGCUUUAGAUGUGCCUCGGCUGAUUUUGUGAUGGACUAAAAGUACUAAAAUUAAAGAAGGCUUCUAUCCCGAUGGGGGGAUGUAACAUGGAAGUGACUGUGCGGUAAUGUAAGUGCACAGGGUGAAACCGUAAUCCAGCCUUGAUUUAGUAUUGGGGUUAGUGCUUUUGAGUAAGAGAAGGUCCAGGAUUCACUGUGGAACAGACUGCAGCCCAGAG
rnacentral:lncRNA from 1 species